GCUUCAGGAGAAUUCGCUUAUGCUGGACAAGCUGUAUGAAGCCAUUUUAUAGUUUUUUCCAGUUGUUUUUCAAAUUUAAAGUUCUCAGCUGCUUCACUCGUUAUGAGGAUUCUGUAACACUGUUUGCUGUGAAGCUCCAAAAACUUCCCUGACUUUCCGCUGGCAUGAUGGUCAUUCAGCUCAGAGCGGAGCCAAUAAUGGCCACUGCAUGGAUCUGUAAUGAAGAUGUGGAGAACAGAGGAGAGCAUCCAGCCGCUGUGGGCUGACAGUUGCUGUGGCAACAACAUAACACAAUGAGAGAAGGGUGAGAGGAGUCGGCCAUUUUGGCCUUUUUUUCUGCCACAGAAAACCUGAAACGGACCAGGUAUACAGCAAAGAUUCAUGGGAAACAGUGGGAGUGCUGCAGUCCUGCCGAAUGUAGGUCACACAGGAAAAGAAAAAGCCCCAAGCAAAGAUUUUAAUGCAGACACAUUGGGUCU